rnacentral:rRNA from 1 species
UGGGGAAUUUUGGACAAUGGGCGAAAGCCUGAUCCAGCAAUGCCGCGUGUGUGAAGAAGGCCUUCGGGUUGUAAAGCACUUUUGUCCGGAAAGAAAUCCUUGGCUCUAAUACAGUCGGGGGAUGACGGUACCGGAAGAAUAAGCACCGGCUAACUACGUGCCAGCAGCCGCGGUAAUACGUAGGGUGCAAGCGUUAAUCGGAAUUACUGGGCGUAAAGCGUGCGCAGGCGGUUUGCUAAGACCGAUGUGAAAUCCCCGGGCUCAACCUGGGAACUGCAUUCGUGACUGCAAGGCUAGAGUAUGGCAGAGGGGGGUAGAAUUCCACGUGUAGCAGUGAAAUGCGUAGAGAUGUGGAGGAAUACCGAUGGCGAAGGCAGCCCCCUGGGCCAAUACUGACGCUCAUGCACGAAAGCGUGGGGAGCAAACAGGAUUAGAUACCCUGGUAGUCCACGCCCUAAACGAUGUCAACUAGUUGUUGGGGAUUCAUUUCCUUAGUAACGUAGCUAACGCGUGAAGUUGACCGCCUGGGGAGUACGGUCGCAAGAUUAAAACUUAAAUGAAUUGACGGGGUCAUAGCUGUUUCCU